GGGCGGGCUGGACCUCUCGGGGUUACAGCCUUGCUGAAUUAUUCACCCUUGUCUUUUGCGUACUUCUUGUUUCCUUGGUGGGUUCGCCCACCACUAGGACAAACAUAAACCUUUUGUAAUUGCAAUCAGCGUCAGUAACAAAUUAAUAAUUACAACUUUCAACAACGGAUCUCUUGGUUCUGGCAUCGAUGAAGAACGCAGCGAAAUGCGAUAAGUAGUGUGAAUUGCAGAAUUCAGUGAAUCAUCGAAUCUUUGAACGCACAUUGCGCCCUUUGGUAUUCCAAAGGGCAUGCCUGUUCGAGCGUCAUUUGUACCCUCAAGCUUUGCUUGGUGUUGGGCGUCUUGUCUCUAGCUUUGCUGGAGACUCGCCUUAAAGUAAUUGGCAGCCGGCCUACUGGUUUCGGAGCGCAGCACAAGUCGCACUCUCUAUCAGCAAAGGUCUAGCAUCCAUUAAGCCUUUUUUUCAACUUUUGACCUCGGAUCAGGUAGGGAUACCCGCUGAACUUAAGCAUAUCAAAAGCGGGAGGAAGAA
rnacentral:rRNA from 1 species